UCGGUUUCCUGUUUGUGUUCUGGUUGGCGUGCGUUAGCCGAGCUACGAGUGCUCUGAUUCUUCCUCUGGUUAGAGAAGAUACGUAUGCAUAGGAUGCGAUAUCCUAGCGAGCACGUUCCCAUUUCCCGAACUACAUCGACUCUGAUGUUUGUCCAUGACAAACUACGUAGGCCCAGGAUGCGACAUCCUGUCGAGUCCUU
rnacentral:lncRNA from 1 species